ensembl:lncRNA
CGACGGACGCGCGCCUCACCUCGGAGGCAACGCAGCGACCCUGAGCCGGGCCCAUAGCGACUGUAGCUUCCGCAGGGGCUGCGGGUCCUCAGUCUCAAACAAAAAUCUCGAAGGGCCUUUAAAAAAGCUAGAUGGAGCCACUGCCCUCUUUCUAGCCACUCAAGGAGGUUACUUGGAUGUCAUCCGAUUAUUGUUGUCUUCAGGAGCAAAAGUCAACCAACCAAAGCAGGGGGAAUAGAUGCAACUCUCAAACCUAUUAGAUGUCCGAUGCAACCAGUUCGUGUUCCCAAAAUCAAAGAAUGAAUUCUGACGAACAACAGAGGUUAAGAGUAGGAAAUUUUACAGAGCGAGAGACAGCUCCCGAGAGAGACAGAAGAGGACCUGGCCAGUAGGUUGCCAAGAGAGGUUGUUAUUAUUGACAUUACAGAAAUGAAAAGGAUUGAAAGAUUU